GUGGAAACUAAAAAGCAACAAUGCAUUCUGAAAACGUCCUGAUAUUGAACUACUCUCGAGUCUGAUGAAUGAGGAGUCCGGAUCAGCAAUAGAGGGAUAUCCUUAUAUGAAUGUUUGCAGCAAAUUUUGAGGUGGACCCUUCACAAGAAUCACUUUCAGGUGCUUACUACUUGUUGCUACAUCUUUAUGAAAGCAAUUCACAGGUCUUGCCAAUAUUUUUCUUGUUUGAACAUAAUAAAUAUAGCUAUUAGACUUGUUAGAAUUGUUUUCCUUGGAUAAUUU
rnacentral:misc_RNA from 1 species